ensembl:lncRNA
GUUCGCACAUGAGCAUUUAUUUUGCCUUGGCAGCCUUAUUAUCAAAAUAAUAAGAAAAUGAGAGUUCAGAAUUACACAGCAUUUUUUUGUGAAGAUUAUACACACAUAGUUUAAAACUUGGCUUACUCUCUCUGGCUUACCUCACAAAACUACAUUCCCACUACUCAGCAGCUGAGCACAGAUGGAAGACAGGAUUCAGCAGCAAUCUGAACCAGAAAGUCCAGCUGCUUUAAGUGUAGGUGUGUGUUUGUGCUGAGGUGGCAGCUGAGUGGUCAUGGGACAACAGGGCAGCCUUGCCCUCAACCCAGAAGCAGAACAGAGCUGGGCCCUCCAGCACUCCUCCCCUGCCAGCACAUUUUCAUCAGAGGCCAGACACGAAGCACAUCAAAACCUACAUGAAUAACAGAACUCCAGUAAGGCCAAGACAACACUGCAGAGGCAAGUGCCAGCGUGCAGACACCGUCCUCAGUGAAAGCUGACUGCAACACACAAACCCCCAUCCCACGGUGUCCUUGCAUUGGGCUGUGACCACUGCUAUGGGUGGGGACUCCCACCAGCAAUAGUGACCUUAAUGACGAGUCAGAGACCAGAGAAAGCCCUCUGUAUUUGACAACGGUUUCUCAGCAGCUAAACUUUAUAUUGCAAAUAAACUAAAUGAGUCAUCAAACAGCUUGAGUGAAGCUCUCUUAGUCUUCACCAAAGUGCUAAUUCCACCUCUCCCCCAGUUUGUUGAGUCAGAAUAUCUCUCCCUCCAGCCCUGCUCUGCUGUACACAAUCCAGAGAGGAACUGCAGUGUUAAUUCUCCUAUCACCUCUUCCAUGCCUUCAGCCAAAUGUCCUCACCUUACCAUAUGAGUCAGACUUUUGAUUAUUUUUUUCCCGUGAAAGGGAUUUAGUGGAUAAACCCUCAUUAAUAUUAUAAUUCUUAUUAAGAAUUGUUUGCUAACGAGAGAUCUGUGAAACACAUAACUAGGCUAACUUGUACAGUGCUUGUUCUCAGCAAUACCUGUACUGUGAAGUUUUGGUGUCCAUCAAUUAUCCAAAGCACUGGUACAAAUCUGGCAUAAACAGGCACAACCCCAGUUUCACAGACUUAAGGAGACAGAGGACAACUACAUUGCCAAAAUCCCAUCUUGGCUUCCUAGACUGCUGCAAGCUAUUAACUUCUCACUUUUUCCAGCCGCAAACAGGCAGCUGCUGAAACCUACUUCUAUUAGGAUCUUCCCACAGAGCAAAAGGUGGGUGGGCAAUCCUGCUCCACCUGCUGUGGAGCUGAGCUGCCUCCUCUCCAUGAGCACUGAGCAGUCACACACACCAUGGUAGUGACAGCAUGCUCCCACCAAUCUUCCGGUGCAUGACUGAUGAAGCAAAGACCCUCUCCAGAUGUCUGCGUGGUGCUGGGAACUCGAGCAGGCUCAUGAUGCUUUAGGUUCCCUGAGUAACAGGUCUCACAUCACUGACACAUAGCAACAGGGGCAGCUAAAUGCUUGCUGCUUUUUGCCUUGCUUUUCCAGAGAGCCUUUUAGAUAAAUGGUUCUCAGAAGAUCACAAGCAUAUCAGAGAUGACAGAGGCAGAACACAAAAGCAAAACAAAUCAGCUCAGUCAUGUCCAUGCUGGUCCUCUCCAUGGCUUCCAACUCUCCACAAUGCAUCUUGUACCCACAAGCACUAAAGUGCACAAGCCAGGUCAGUGGGUCUGCAAGAAGCCAGGUCCAUGAUACCCCGCCUGUGAGCAUCCCUUCAACUCCAGCAUGGGUGGGACAGCAGAAGUAAAGAAGCAGAACAGGGACUCUUCCAGCCAGGGGCAGAGGAAGUUGAAUUCAACAAGGCAGAAGCAUUGACAAUUUUUAAGUGAGGAACUGAAUACAAAAACAGGAAGAAUUGCAGUACAACUUCUAACUGGAAAUGGCCCUUACUCUGCACUUUUUACUUCAACCAACCUGGCUGCUGCACUGCCUGAAGCAGUGGCUUACACUUUGUGUGUUAUCGUGCUCCCAACCAUUCAGUUUCCAUGUUCCACCCACCUGUAUGUUGAGGUCUGCAGCCUGAUCCCCUUUUGCCAUUAACCUGGCAGCCAAACUAGCCAUAACUGAACCAAAAGGAGAGGCUGUCCAAUGCCAAGGAAAGACUUCCACAAAGUUCCAUAUAUUCUUUGCAGAAAACAGAUUUAAAGGCAGGCUAAAUUUAAUUAUUUGUAUAACUGGAAUAUCCUUGUUACAGGACUUGUAACCAUAGCAAUCACUUAAACAAAGCUUUGAAGAAAAUAUUCCCUAGUUAUUAAAAUAUUGAUUCUAGAUCCUGAUUCAGUUUCUCAAUCUUUCUUAUUUCUGACCUCAGAGGUGCUGUCUGCCUCCAGGUCUUAUAAAAUAAAUGGAAAUGGAAGCGCUCAGCUCAGAGACACCAAGUAUCCUCAGCUAGUACUUGUGUCUUGUGCCAAUAGAAUGAUGCUUCCUAAAUACACAAAUACAAAAGGAUCAGGUUGUCAUGUGGGGAUUUGGAUGUUUGCAAACAUAAAAGUAAUCAGCUAGCAGGGAUGCUUCUCAGAACAAGUCUCAGGAAAUUAAACUGAGCCUACAUUAAUCACAUUGCAAACAGAAAGUAUUCCUUCAGUUGGGGCCAGACUAAUUUAAAAGCUCAGGCACUGGGAAAAAAAUUAGGGGGAAAAGGCUGAAGUAUCUGGCAAUUGGCAAUAUACAUUAAGGUCCCUUGGUAUUAUGGCUGAAUUAUCUUCUAUCUCCACAGACUCCAUUCCACAGUUAUGACUCUUGUAUUAAUAAGAGUCAUGCAGGCAUCACACAAAGGCAGCAUUGAUUUGUUAUUCUGUAACUCUAUCUGGAUAACCAGGGAGAAUUUGUUUUGAAGAUUCAGCCAGAGCCUUUUACUUUUUUCAGCUGCCUAUUGAAUGAGUAUGUAGCCAGGAAAAUGGGACACAGAAACUGUAAGAUGGAUGUGAUCUGCACACACAUUUUUCUCACAAGAAAACAAGUACAGUACAUGUUUAACAAAAGGCAGUAGCUCCAGGGUUACAUUAUAUAAUGGAGCUGAAUACAAACUCUUCAAUAUACAGCAUCCCAGGAGGUACAUUAGGAAAGGUACAAGAAGGAAAGUAUUUUCUUCAUGUGAGGAAGGAGACAGUUAUCUUCUUGAAACAUGACUUGAGAGUCCUUCCUGGAUGCCACCACAGCUGGUUUGGCUCUGAAAAGUAGCCCAUGUGAAUUUCAGAUCAGAUGGUCUGUGGAUUAAGGAGCUAUACCAGCUGCUUUAGCUUCUCUCCACAUCCCAGUUAUCUUGGUUGGACAUUACUGAAUGAAAAGCAAACGUGCAGGAAGCCCAGCGACUAACAGAUAUUUAAGGCCAAAAAUUAUUCUUGUACCUAAAACACUACAGAAGCAGCUGUUCUGUUUUAUAUGUCCAGGUUCAAAAGGAACAGAAAUUGCUUCACAGAAUACUGUCAGAAUAGAAAUCAAAUACAAAUGUAUCUGUGUGAAACCUGGGCAUGUAUUUUUAGGUGCACACACCCACACACAUACGCAGCCUGAAUAGUUCACUCCCCUCCUCUGACACAAUCAGGGAUGCCUUCAAGAGGAAAAUGAGCCCAGACAUGUUCCUAACCCAAUCUGCCUGUGCCACCCCUAUUUUAACUACAUACUGUAUCAUGUAAUGGUUUGAAAAUCUUAUUUCCGUGACUUUUUCCUUCCUUUACAUUCUCACAGUAUUACUCUGUUUCUUUUAGCAACACAGUAACACAGCAGAUCAAACCUGAAACUCUGCAGUUUAGUGCUCAGUACCAAAGACUGCAGUAAUUAUGCUAGGGGAACAGUCUCUACAAAACAUUAGUUCUCAUUUAGUUUUCCCACACUGGUUUAAGGCUUAAACCAUAACCUAAGACCCUUCCUCAAAGUAUCAAUAUGGAAUCACUGCAGUCACUUGCAAUCAGCUGAUGGCAGCUAUUUACAUUCCCAUCCCAUAGGCAGAUACUCGUAUUUUAAGCAGCAGUUAUCCAGAAGGUUUUUCACAAUUAACAUACAGGUCGUCAGUUUCAAGGUUAUUCAAACCAUUCGCAGUAUCUUCUUCCAAAAUUAAACCUGCACAGCUACAGUGGGCUCUUAACGAGUCUUUCCAAAUCUCCAAAUCCCACCCCAUGCCUCCUGAACUGUGGCACUCCUUCUCUCCCAGAAAUAUUUGCUUUACCUUUUGUAUGUCCAGAUGGCCUUGAUCACUUGUAUCCUUCCUGAACUUCUCUGUGGCAAUACAGAAAGGCUGAAAAAUCAUGUUAUAAGUGUAUGGAGCAAGGUUUGCCAAAAUGGAAGAUUUCAUGAUUAGUCAGACUGCUGAAAAACCUUAGACAGGAAGCAAAGAUUUGCAGACAGGUUUCAGCAAUGAAGCGUUCUGUCAUAACAUGGGAAACCCUUCUGCCCUAGGUCCUACCCUGUUGUGUUCUCCCCUCCAGAAGCUCUUCUGGUAUUUCACAGGCAUCACAGGGUACUUUUCCAUUAACAGACUCCACCGAGAAGUGAAGGAUUUCAGCACUCUGUUCUCCAUUCAGCCCCACAGGCAGCAGCUGGCACAGCAGACUGGCAUUCCUAAAACUGCUCCUGCAGGACUGGCUGUGCUACAGGAGGAGCACUUCUGACAUCAACAAAGUGAACAGGACUUCAGUGUGGCAGGGUGACACAUCACAUACACCCCACCAUGACCCCUGUAGUACAACAGCCUUCAAAAUGACAACAACAAAGCUCCAUUGUAACUGACACCAAAAACCUGGUUUACUGUGCCCUUUAAACUUAAAGCAACUGGAGUAAUUCAAUAAAGAGCAAGUGUAAGAAAAAGGGAAAGAACCCACACCAUCAGCUGUCUGGUAUUUAUUACUUUUUAAUACAGAGAACUCACAACAAAAUAUUCUCUAACAACACAUGUAAAUUAUAUCAUAACCAAUUAUUUUAAUUUCAUCAACAUUCAUUUGCUAUGUACAUAUUCUUCCAUCUGCAAAAGUGCAAUCCAAGAAUGUCUCAACAAGAAACCUUUAUGGACAAGUAUAUUUUUGAGGGGUUUUCUCACCAGUGACCUUACAACAUGUUUGUCCUUGGUUACUUGGUACAGCAAAAUGAGGAAUACAUGGGAGGGAGAAAAAAAAAAGGAAAAAAGAAAAAUAUCGGGCUAGAUGCCUCCCUUGUAGGAAUAUUCAUUAUUUUUCCAAUUAAACUCAUUAUGAAUACCCAGCUCAUUACUGGAGAUGUUAAUGUAAAUAGACUAUAGGAUAGUCUGUGGUCUGGCUAUAAAACACUGUAGUUUUAAUUACUGCAGCAUUAGAACAACAACUUCAGGCUGUUCACGUUGGUCAAUGUCAAGUUACACAUUAGCAUGUAAAAGUUGUCUAUUUUGUUAGUUAUGGUUAUCAAAAUUUAUUUGUAGACAUCUUAGUGAUGAAUGAAUUCAGCUUUACACAUCCAAAAUAUGAAGUCUCCCUAAAUGCAAGCCUCUCCUAUGGAAAGGAAAGUUAACUACUGGAAAGAAAAGCAUUUGCACAUGCAACUCCUACUGCUAUCACAAGGAGCAUCGUGCACUUAAGAAGAGCAGAAUGAACCUCCAAAUCCAGAGGAGUACAUUCUCAUUUAUAAAACAUAUUUCAGGCAAAUUUAAUCUGACAAUGGGCCAGCUUAAAAAGAACACACAGCAUCAGAGAAAAUAAAGAUAAUGAAGAAUAAACUAGCCAAAUAAACAAAGCAACCAGCUCCCUAGCUUGGGAAGUAAUUUCCUUUAUGAUGCAUUUGUAAGCUCAUGACUACUUCCAGUGCUUGUCAAGACAGGAAGCAGAGCAACUGUGGUCUAGUUUAACCUCCAAAGUAGCUAUUAGGUCCCAAAGAAGGUGCAUUUGCACUUCUGCUUCAGUAAAGCCCAGGAAAUUCUCCUGGCCAAAGGUGAAGGCUGACUGCUUGACUGGAAUCUGCAUGUUAGAGAAAAUCAUGCAUUUUCCAGUGACUCAAGAGCAACUUUCAGCACCAUCAAGAAGCAGGGAAAGUCUUUACAAAUUAGAGAUAAUUCACUUUGGAGGGAAAGUUCAGAAGAACCUUUCUGUAGCUCAGCUGGUUUCCACUGAGGAUCAUUUUUACAGUGCUAUGUAUGCUGCUAGUCUCCAGCUGAGAGAUGUGUUUUACAAGAAAAUAUGCAUUCCUUAAGCAGUAAGUAAGACUCAACAGCAGAAUUAAAAGGAAAAGCUGGCAAAGAACUAAACUGCUUUCUUAGAGAGAUUUGUAUGUAAUUCCUUGUCAGUGUUACAACUUUAAAUGUGCUUUUCCCUUCCCAUUUUCUGUCUGUUCCAUUCCUGGUUUUGACUUGGAUGUAUUACACAAUCUCUCAAAUACUUAUUUUUAAAGCUGACCAUAUUUCCUUUAUUCCACAUCUACUCAUUUUUGAUUGCCACACAUACAGGUCUAGAGAGGCAUCCAAGAACGUAAAGGGCAGAACUGCAAAUUAAGCUACUCUAAGGGAAGCAAAUGAACAAGUAUUUAGGACAACUCCAGAGCCCACUUGUCCCCUACCAAGUGCACUGUACAGUGACACCUCCUCCCAACACUGUACAAAAAAAGUGGGCACACAAUGCCAUGUAUCCUGUGUGGGAGCUCACACCCCAGACUCACAAUGUGUGACUGGCACUGAACUGAAGACUGAACCUACAAUAAGAGAAGUAUGCUUUAAUUGCUUAAUUACAGGAGCUUUGUCUUUGCUGUGUGAUUUCAGGUCGCUGUGACAGCCGCUGUUUUCUGUCUGGUCUGGUUCUCACAGGACUGCCAGGCAACACAACUCCAACCUUGUUAGCCAUCCUAACUCCAGCAGGUUGCUCAACACACCAUCAAAGCUGCAGGGCUCAACCUUCUGGAGGAGUUAAUCCAAAUUAUAAUUCCAUUGCUCUUCACAAAGGAAGUCUACACUGCACAGCUAAUUAGGUUUUAUCUGCGAGAAAUCUCCUUCCUGCCCAGGUAUGCCCAGGCCAGGUCCUGUUCCUAGGGAUAGUGGGUGCAGAACUGGUCUCACUGCACCUGGGCUUCACAUAACUUUGUAGUAGCCAUGAAAGGACGUGUGAGAAGUCUCUCAGUGUCUUUCCUGUAAUUCUCCCAGAAGAAGAAACAGGUUUUCCCAAAACUACUGCCAACAGGACAACUGCACAAAACCCCAAGAACAUGCUCCAGACCCAAAACCAAGCCCAGGAACUUGUACAAAGGAGAGCAGUGGUGAAGGCUACCACAGCCUGCUAACAUGGCAGUUCAGAGCAGCGCUGGACCGCAUGAGCUGGGUGGCACCCAAGGACACUGCCACUCAAGCUGUGCCAACAGAAUUGCUCUGUGCAGCUUGGGUAUUACUUGAAGGAUAGCUAAUGCUAAAAAGAGCUAAUUCUGCAGUGGAGGCAGCCAGGAAAUAAAACCCUGAACUCAGCAUUUUUACACACAAAGAAACAUGGAUAUUCAACUUGAGUUUUAUGUGCAUGAUAAUUUCUUAAUUUGGUAGAAAGUGUAAUUCUCAAUCCAACAUAGGAAAAAAACACUAUUUUGGCUUCUGACUUUUUUGUUUUCUUUCCCAGGUGGCAGACUAUCAGGGCCAUUUUAACAGAUACACUCUACAAAGAUUCUAAUUUGGAAAAACAAAAUGCUUCAGAAUAAACAAAAAAAAAAAAUCCCACCAUGUAAACAGAAAAAAA